AUCUGGCUCAGGAUGAACGCUGGCGGCGUGCUUAACACAUGCAAGUCGAACGGGAAACCUAUUAUUGAAGCUUCGGCAGAUUUAGUUUGUUUCUAGUGGCGGACGGGUGAGUAACGCGUGGGUAACCUGCCCUAUACAGGGGGAUAACAACCAGAAAUGGUUGCUAAUACCGCAUAAGCGCACAGGACCGCAUGGUCCGGUGUGAAAAACUCCGGUGGUAUAGGAUGGACCCGCGUUGGAUUAGCUAGUUGGCAGGG
rnacentral:rRNA from 1 species